rnacentral:rRNA from 1 species
UACGGGGGGGGCUAGCGUUGUUCGGAUUCAUUGGGCGUAAAGGGUGUGUAGGUGGCGCCGUAAGUCGGGUGUGAAAUUUCGGAGCUUAACUCCGAAACUGCAUUCGAUACUGCGGUGCUUGAGGACUGGAGAGGAGACUGGAAUUCAUGGUGUAGCAGUGAAAUGCGUAGAGAUCAUGAGGAAGACCAGUGGCGAAGGCGGGUCUCUGGACAGUUCCUGACACUGAGACACGAAGGCCAGGGGAGCAAACGGG